AAGUGUUCAACCUACGGGGUCCUGAGCUGCCCCUGGUGCUGGUGGCAAACAAACACGAUCUGCUCACUGCGCGUGCAGUCACGGAGGACGAGUGUGACAACCUUGCUGCAGAGAUGGAUUGCCCCAGAUUUCAGAUCUCUGUCGCUGAGGGCCAAGACGGGGUGAACGAGGCGGUGGAGGAGCUGAUGGUGUUGAUGAAGAGACAGCUGGUGAAGAGCCUAACCCAGCCAGAGACCGUGGUGGCUCUGGAGAAGAAGUCUCGCCUGUACAGCAUGAAGAAAGCCUUCAAGAAACGGAUCGUGCGCAGUCGCAGUGACACUUUUUAAUUGUAACAAUGUUCACUUUCAUGCGUUUUGUCUGUUUGUUUGUUUGUUUGUUUUCUUUUUUGUUUGUUUGUUUGAUUGAUUUUUAGUCUGUUUGUUUGUUUGUUUGUGUGUGUGUCUGUUUGUUUGUUUGAGUAAAGAGAAGAACAUUGAAACAAUAAUGGUCAACGUUUAUGCGCAUUAGUGUGAAAAAUAGAUCGUGCGCAGUUU